AGCUUCGAGCAUUCGAGCUGCUCCAUAAUCGAACUGAUCAUCGUAUUGUAAACAUCGUUUAUCGAAUUCUCGUGGCUCGAGUAGUUUUUAAAAUCUAUUCUCAAUUUUAUUAAUUAAUGGGAAAACAUUGUAAUUGUGUUCAUUUACAAAUCACUGCCGAUGAGCCAUUCACGCAGUACGGAACCAUAAUCAAGCAAUACCAGCUACCGGAUUUGAACUACGAUCUGGCUGAAAAAGGAGUUGCCUGGGAUCUGCAAUACAUCAGGGAACGCCGAAAGAAGCAGUUAAGGAAACAAAAACUGUACCGACAGUCGAUGAUCAUAGUCGAAUUUUUAUGCUUUGUAUGGCUGUUAUUUCUACUUUUCUCGCUGUUUUUGCACCAUUAAUGGGAAGAGGAGCUUUCUCGUCAGAAGAAAAUUGUACUGAGAACACUCGCCUUUUGCGUGUUGAUGAUCACAGCCGGUCUAUCACCGCUGCUUAUUUAAUUCUCACCAUUUACAAAUGAAUUUCAUUAUUCACAUGUGAUUCCGAACAAGUAAUUUGCCAGCGUCCUCACCUUACAUCAGUCACAAUGUAGCCGUUUUUUGUAAAUACGUCGUAAGAUAUAAUUUACGUCGUUAGAGAUUGUGUAUCAUACCUAAUUCAUAAGUUAUAAUUUUUAAUUUUUUUUCUACGCUCGUAUACCUAUAAAUUUAUAAGGAGUCGUUUUGAAUUGUUUUCUUUGCUCAUUUACCUACCGUUCUCCUUCGAGAGGAGAUUAUUUGAUAAGUAUUAUGUUAGCUUUUUAAACUGCAGUCAAGGUGCGUGUUAUAUUUACCACUUUUUUAUCGUCUAAUAUUUGCUCCGCCAGCGUUAAGACUGUGAUGGAUAUUAUACUAAGUUUCUACUACCUAACGAUAAGAUCGCAAUUUUACGUGUAUUUAGUCGUAUUUACGACGAAUUGCCGCUUAACCAAGCUAUAUUAUUGCCAUUUUAUGUAUCGUAGAAGUUUACUAAGUGUAAUAAAAUUUUCUACAAUCUUUA